UCUGGUCUGCAGGGAGCCGGAGAGGCCGACCGGCCCUGGGCUCUGUGUGGAGCUGUGUGGCGCUGACGGAUCCUGCAGCGAGGGAGAAAAGUGCUGCAGUAACGGGUGUGGCCACCAGUGCAUGCGAGUGUCUGGAGGGUCUCCCUAGCGCCCGCCUGCCGGAACCCCGACGCCAGAGGGGAUGCGCCGCCUCCACCCCGCUGACCGGCGCAAGGCGACUGCUGAGAUCGGCUCCCGCUGC